rnacentral:rRNA from 1 species
AAAUGAAUUGACGGGCACCCGCACAAGCGGUGGAGCAUGCUGUUUAAUUCGAAGAUACGCGAAGAACCUUACCUAGGCUUGACAUCCCCGGCAAAACUAUAGAGAUAUAGUGGAGGCUACCCGGGUGACAGGUGGUGCAUGGUUGUCGUCAGCUCGUGUCGUGAGAUGUUCGGUUAAGUCCGAUAACGAGCGCAACCCUUAUCAUUAGUUACUAACAUUUAGUUGAGUUCUCUAAUGAUACUGCCGCAGAAAAUGCGGAGGAAGGUGGGGAUGACGUCAAAUCAUCAUGCCCCUUACGUCUAGGGCUACAGGCGUGCUACAAUGGCCGAUACAAAGGGUCGCAAAGCCGCGAGGUGGAGCUAAUCCCCAAAAUCGGUCCCAGUUCGGAUUGGAGUCUGCAACUCGACUCCAUGAAGUUGGAAUCGCUAGUAAUCCUAAAUCAGAAUGUUAGGGUGAAUACGUUCCCGGGUGUUGUACACACCGCCCGU